CACCGCGUGCGGGGCCAACGCCGCACGGCACGGCAAACCCCACCUGGAGCAAGGCCAAAUAGGGACGCAACGAUGUUGCCCGCAUCGCGUCCGGGUAGGCUGCUGGAGUGGCGCGGCGACGCGUCACCGAGAGGAAUGACUGCCCACGACAGAACCCGGCUUAUCGGCCGGCUCCGCCC
rnacentral:RNase_P_RNA from 1 species